rnacentral:tRNA from 2 species
GGCCCGGUAGCUCAGUUGGUCAGAGCAGCGGACUCAUAAUCCGUCGCGCGCAGGUUCGAGUCCUGCCCGGGCCA